UACGUAGGCAGCGAGCGUUGUUCGGAGUUACUGGGCGUAAAGGGUGUGUAGGCGGUCCUCUAAGUUUGGUGUGAAAUCUCCCCGGCUCAACCGGGAGGGUGCGCCGAAAACUGGAGGGCUAGAGUGCGGGAAGGGAGAGUAGAAUUCCUGGUGUAGCGGUGAAAUGCGCAGAUAUCAGGAGGAACACCAAUGGCGAAGGCAGCUCGCUGGAACGGUACUGACGCUGAGGCGCGAAAGCGUGGGGAGCAAACAGG
rnacentral:rRNA from 1 species